CCAAGCUCUCAGAACUGGCAACUGCCCACUGAGCCAGGCUGGCAAGCAAAGAGCCAGGCUCAAGGCAGAGAAGACAGGAGCUUGGCAACAGCAGCCACUUUUCCUGGACAUAUCACUGAAUUACCCUGGAAGGUUCAAAGAAUUGAUGUCGACCACAGUGGCCAGUGGAAGACUUGAGAAGAAAAUUUAUGUCUUCUGAAUAUAAGCCAGAUGCUCUUUGCCCUGAAUACCCAUUUUUGGAGUAGGAAAAUCAAAUGCUCUGAAACAGAGAACAUUUGGAAGAGAAUCCAUUCUCACCUGAGUGGAAUGUUUUGAUGGGUCCUCUCUUAAAGCUGGGUAAUGGAUAACCUGAAUUUCUUUAGUCGCUUCAACCCUAGAAUUCUGUGGUGCCACAAAAUUGUUGUUUUAAAGAGACAGUAAACCAAUCAGAAAAUUACACAGCUGCCCCUUAUUAUUAAAAGCACCCCAACACUGAAUAAAUGUUCGUGCUGAAAUUAAAACAAGGCGCUACAUGAGAAAAGCUUGGAAGCUAGAAUAUCGCCAGUUGUGUACGCCAGGUAUGAUUCUAAAGUGACGGCAAACAAUGCUGCAACCAGCCUAUUGGUUAGCUAGAAACUGUGGACACCCAGAUGAGGUUCCGUCUGAAUACAUACCCAAUGGUGUGCUCAAAACUACCGUGUAAAAUGCUUGUUUUACCCAGAUACCCUAUAGGAAUAUUUAGCUGUUACAUUGUAAAUGCUGUUAUUUUGGUUUCUAAAAAUGUCAUGACAGGAAAUGAUUCCACGGAAUAGUUGCCAAGAUGGCUGUUGGGCAGAAUCGAGAGGGGAGAAAAUAGAAUUAAAUCUAGACAACAAGA